GCUCGUGGAUCGAUGAAGACCGCAGCUAAAUGCGCGUCAGAAUGUGAACUGCAGGACACAUGAACACCGACAAGUUGAACGCAUAUUGCACAUCGUACAACAGUACGAUGUACACAUUUUUGAGUGCCUAUAUUUAUCUAUUCAACUAUACGUGCGUGCGCGUUUCACUCCGGGUGGACAAGCGCACGGCCCAUAAGCACGUAUGCGUAGUGAUGUUUUCCCGCCUUCGGUGGCGGUAAAACAUUGAAGAUAGUCAGGCGCGUCCGCCCUCCGUGGCAGGACGUGGUUGAUGAAUACAUCCCAUAGACCAGCCCCGUUGGUUAUGUUGUAUUCCAUCUCCAAACACACAAUCGAAUAUGAUUAGUACCAGUAGGCCUCAAAUAAUGUGUGACUACCCCCUAAAUUUAAGCA
rnacentral:rRNA from 1 species